UACGGAGGGUGCAAGCGUUAUCCGGAAUCACUGGGUUUAAAGGGUGCGUAGGCGGCUUAGUAAGUCAGGAGUGAAAGCCUGCGGCUUAACCGUAGAAUUGCUUUUGAUACUGCUGAGCUUGAAUUAGGUUGAGGUUGGCGGAAUGUGACAUGUAGCGGUGAAAUGCAUAGAUAUGUCAUAGAACACCAAUUGCGAAGGUAGCUGACGAGACCUUAAUUGACGUUGAGGCACGAAAGCGUGGGGAGCGAACAGG
rnacentral:rRNA from 1 species